UUCCAUCCCACUAAUUAAACAGCUGGAUGCUAUGCUUUUACUAGGCUUACUCAUGUCUGGUACUAUUCUAGGAAACCAACCUUGGACAUAUAUUUAUUUUAUUUUCUGUGUUUCAUAGUUGACCCUUGUCUUGGAGAUGACUACCCACUUAACUCAGUCUGGACGGUGGCUCAGCUUGCCAAAGCAUGCACACAAGAGGAUCCACAACUACGUCCAAGUAUGAGAUCUAUAGUGGUUGCCUUAAUGCAGGACAAGCCAAAACUUUGACAGAAAAAUUAAACAAUAACAAAAAUAAAUGAUAGAAACCUAGGAAUCAGUAUCAAGUUUUGCUUGGAGUAACACUAAGGCUUUGUUUGUUUGAG